AUUGAACGCUGGCGGCAGGCCUAACACAUGCAAGUCGAGCGAGAGGCGGACGGGUGAGUAAUGUUUGGGAAACUGCCUGAUGGAGGGGGAUAACUACUGGAAACGGUAGCUAAUACCGCAUACCAUCUGAUGUGCCCAGGUGGGACUAGCUAGUAGGUGGGGUAACGGCUCACCUAGGCGACGAUCCCUAGCUGGUCUGAGAGGAUGACCAGCCACAGGGGAACUGAGACACGGUCCAGACUCCUAUGCGAGGCAGGUGUGGGGAACAUUUCACAAUGGGCGGAAGCCUGAUGCAGCCAUGCCGCGUGGGUGAAGAAGGACUCUGGGUUGUAAAGUACUUUCAGCGGGGAGGCGUUACCAGUAGAAGAAGCACCGGCUAACUCCGUGCCAGCCGCCGCGGUAAUAC
rnacentral:rRNA from 1 species